GACGAACGCUGGCGGCGUGCUUAACACAUGCAAGUCGAACGGAAAGGCCCUGCUUUUGUGGGGUGCUCGAGUGGCGAACGGGUGAGUAACACGUGAGUAACCUGCCCUUGACUUUGGGAUAACUUCAGGAAACUGGGGCUAAUACCGGAUAGGAGCUCCUGCUGCAUGGUGGGGGUUGGAAAGUUUCGGCGGUUGGGGAUGGACUCGCGGCUUAUCAGCUUGUUGGUGGGGUAGUGGCUUACCAAGGCUUUGACGGGUAGCCGGCCUGAGAGGGUGAACGGCCACAUUGGGACUGAGAUACGACACAGACUACUACGGGACGCAGCGGUGGGGAAUGUUGUACAAUGGGCGGAAGGCUAAUGCAGCAACGCAAUGUGGGGGGAGACGGCAAGGCGGUUGUAUAGCACAUUCGCCUGUGACGAAGAGUGAGUGACGGUAAUGGGUAAAGAAGCACCGGCUAACUACGUG
rnacentral:rRNA from 1 species